GCCACACCAAAGAUAAAAAAAACCAGUAAGCCUCAAUUUUUUCUCUUUUCUGCUAAGAGACACCUCCUAACCAUCAAUUAAACAGGUUUUUACCAAGAACUGACUGAGAACGACCUGACCGAGAUGAGGAACCAUCAGAGAAGGAGGACCCAGUGGCGAAGCACGGCAGUGCCGCCCUGCCGGAACCCAACCAACCCCCCGACUAGAUUUUUUGUUCUUUUGGCCAUUUUUUGUGUAUUUUCACGCUAUUUUGACGUACAUUUUGAUUUUAACAAAAAAAUCCAAGAAAUUCAGGAACUAAAAACUGUCAGAAAAUGUAGUGAA
rnacentral:lncRNA from 1 species